rnacentral:rRNA from 1 species
UACAGAGGGGGCAAGCGUUAUUCGGAAUUAUUGGGCGUAAAGGGCGCGUAGGCGGCUUGGCAAGUGGAUGGUGAAAUCCCUCGGCUUAACCGAGGAACUGCCGUCCAAACUGCUUGGCUUGAGUCCGGGAGAGGUGAGUGGAAUUCCCAGUGUAGCGGUGAAAUGCGUAGAUAUUGGGAGGAACACCAGUGGCGAAGGCGGCUCGCUGGACCGGUUCUGACGCUGAGGCGCGAAAGCGUGGGGAGCAAACGGG